GCACCGCUGAGGAGCCCCAAACAGGACGAAACAGCUGUCCAGUGC
rnacentral:hammerhead_ribozyme from 1 species